AGGACGAACGCUGGCGGCGUGCCUAACACAUGCAAGUCGAACGCGCUCCAUUCGGUAGCAAUACUGAUGAAGAGUGAGUGGCGAACGGGUGAGUAACACAUGAGCAACCUGCCCCGAAGACUGGGACAACACCGGGAAACCGGUGCUAAUACCGGAUAUCCCUAUCGGAC
rnacentral:rRNA from 1 species